UACGUAGGGGGGCUAGCGUUGUCCGGAAUCAUUGGGCGUAAAGCGCGUGUAGGCGGUCCGGUAAGUCCGCUGUGAAAGUCGAGGGCUCAACCCUCGAAUGCCGGUGGAUACUGUCGGGCUUGAGUACGGGAGAGGCGAGUGGAAUUCCUGGUGUAGCGGUGAAAUGCGCAGAUAUCAGGAGGAACACCGAUUGCGAAGGCAGCUCGCUGGAACGUUACUGACGCUGAGACGCGAAAGCGUGGGGAGCAAACAGG
rnacentral:rRNA from 1 species